GUAUUUUACAUUUUAAUUGUUAUUAUCCAUUUAGUUAGAGCCCUAUUUUUGUUUGAUAAAAUGCCAAUUUGGUAGGAGAUAAAUAGAUAGUGAGAUAAUUUCAAAUUUUCUUGCUUUUUCCUCUGUCCGAAAGUUAGUUACCAAGACAUGUUUUGGCAUUUGAUUAUCUUUAGCUUGAAAAGAAGAAAACGACUCUGCAAAAGUUGUGUUUUUGAAACGGGAGACAAAUAGGCAUAGGCUGUGAAGUGCUGCAAUAGCAACGAACAAGGAAUAUGAAACCCUUUUGUCCCUUGCUGUCGAGACCUCGUCAAAAUUGGAUGCAGUCUAGUAGCUGGUUUUUUUGUGGAUUUUUCUGUAAUUCCUAUAAGUAACCUGAAACACACUAGUCUUCAAAGUAG
rnacentral:misc_RNA from 1 species